CUCACUCUUAUUUAUAAUUGAUAAGAAACAAUUUAAAAAUUAAAAUAAAAUAUAAAAAUGAAAAGUUUCUAAAAACUAGAUCUCUAUCUUUGAAAAAAUGAAAAGCUUCUAAAAACUAGACCAAAGCUAGCUAGCUUAGUAUGAAAAAAGUUGUUAAUAAAAAAAUAAAAUUAAUUAUUAUACACUGUCAGCGUAAAAAGUUU
rnacentral:lncRNA from 1 species